UCUGGGGAACAGAAUGGAAAAACUGAGAUUCCUUCUGGAAAUGCCUCAGGCAAGGCAGCUUCAAAGAGACACUUUAAAUCCAGUAUUCUUCUACAACAGGAUUUCUCUAUGAAGCAGUCCAUUCUCUCUACAGAUAUGCUGUGACUAACUUCACCAACUAUUUGGAGGCUACUGGGACAUUUGCUUUCAAAUUUUUUUAAAUAAAAAAUGCUGUCAUAAACA